rnacentral:rRNA from 1 species
UUUAUGGAGAGUUUGAUCCUGGCUCAGGAUGAACGCUGGCGGCGUGCCUAAUACAUGCAAGUCGAGCGAACAGAUGAGGAGCUUGCUCCUUUGACGUUAGCGGCGGACGGGUGAGUAACACGUGGGUAACCUACCUAUAAGACUGGGAUAACUUCGGGAAACCGGAGCUAAUACCGGAUAAUAUUUCGAA